rnacentral:lncRNA from 1 species
UUCCUAAACAGAAGCAAAAAGCAAAAAACUAAAAAUAAAAUUGGGUUGCCUCCCAACAAGCGCUAUCGUUUAACGCCCCUAGCUAGGCAUAAAAGCUAGGAUAGAUCUAGGUAGUGCCAUAGUAAUAGGAUAGCUCAUUAAAACUCAUUUUGUAUUCUCUACGUUCAGCAGCAAGUUUCCUUUGAGGCAAGCAAAAGUAAUCAAAAGGGCUAAAUUUAAUGGGACAAAAGUCCCCAAGAUCAAUUUUAGGAGGUAUAGGUUCCUCCUUCGGCCCUUCGUAUUGCACAACCAGUUCAUCAUUAUAAGCAUUCUUUUGACAGAACUUUGUGAGCCUAUACUCGAGAGAAUAUCCUAGCUCAUUAUUUUGAAUAGCCAAAUCAUCAUUAAUUUCAGAAAUUCCAUCAACUAGAACAUUGGUAGGGACCUUUUUCCUAAGGUUUUGAUUGAAAGCAACAUAGUCUAGAGAUUGAAAACGCAUUAUUUCUUCUUGAUCAAAGAGGAUAGCCUCUAUGGGAGGACGGCCAGCGUCCACCCUAUAAUGCGCAAAUAUUUCUUUGGCCUCUUUUAUUCUAAAUCUGAACUCAUAAGCCAAAAAGAUAGUAGCGGCACGCUUAACAGAAGAAUGCUCUAUAUUAGAAAAUUCUAGGAAAAUCCUUUGUAUGCAAGGGUGCAAGUGCAUAAAUUGCCUUUCAAGUUCAACUAUAAGCAUGGCUAUGAUUCUCUUUUUUUAUGGCCUCUUUUUUUAGUCCGGAGUCUCAUCCCGACUUAUGGGGGAAUCAUAGUCUCCAUCAUCCUUUCCUCACUUGGGACAAUGCUCUAAUAAUGAUGAUCAUCACACUUUUAUUUACUUACAACUCAAGAUUUACAACUCAAUACUUAGAACAAUAAUAUGACUCUAUGUGAAUGCCUCCGGCGGAGUACCGGGAUAUGCAAUGAAUCAAGAGUGACAUGUAUGAAAGAAUUAUGAACGGUGGCUUUGCCACAAAUACGAUGUCAACUACAUGAUAUUGAGUGAUGAAGCGUGUCAUAGCAAACGGAAUGGUGGUAAGUUGCAUGGCAAUAUAUCUCGGAAUGGAUAUGGAAAUGCCAUGAUAGGUAGGUAUGGUGGCUGUUUUGAGGAAGGUAUAUGGUGGGUUUAUGAUACCGGCGAAAAGUGCGCGGUAUUAGAGAGGCUAGCAAUGGUGGAAGGAUGAGAGUGCGUAUAAUCCAUGGACUCAACAUUAGUCAUAAAGAACUCAUAUACUUGUUGCAAAAAUCUACAAGUUAUCAAAGCAAAGUAUUACGUGCAUGCUCCUAGGGGGAUAUAUUGGUAGGAAAAGACCAUCGCUCGUCCCCGACCGCCACUCAUAAGGAAGACAAUCAAUAAAUAAAUCAUGCUCCGACUUCAUCACAUAAAGGUUCACCAUACGUGCAUGCUACGGGAAUCACAAACUUUAACACAAGUAUUUCUCAAAUUCAAAACUACCCAACUAGCAUGACUCUAAUAUUACCAUCUUCAUAUCUCAAAACAAUUAUCAAGUAUCAAACUUCUCACAGUAUUGAACACACUCAUAAGAUUUUUUUUACUAAUCUUGAAUGCCUAUCAUAAUUAAAGCAAAUUACCACGCUGUUUUGUAGGACUCUCAAAAUAAUGUAAGUGAAGCAUGAGAUAACAAUAGUUUCUAUAAAACAUAACCACCGCCGUGCUCUAAAAGAUAUAAGUGAAGCACUGGAGCAAAAACUAUAUAGCUCAAAGGAUAUAAGUGAAGCACAUAGAGUAUUCUAACAAAUUCUGAAUCAAGUGUGUCUCUCUCAAAAGGUGUGUACAGCAAGGAUGAUUGUGGAAAACUAACAAACAAAGACUCAAAUCAUACAAUACGCUCCAAACAAAACACAUAUCAUGUGGUGAAUAAAAAUAUAGCUCCAAGUAAAUUUACCGAUGGAUGAGGACGAAAGAGGGGAUGCCUUCCGGGGCAACCCCAAGCUUUGGCUUUUUGGUGUCCUUAGAUUAUCUUGGGGUGCCAUGGGUAUCCCCAAGCUUAGGAUCUUGCCACUCCUUGUUCCAUACUCCAUAAAAUCUUUACCCAAAACUUGAAAACUUCACAACACAAAACUUAACAGAAAAUCUCGUGAGCUCCGUUAGCGAAAGAAAACAAAAGACCACUUCAAGGUACUGUAAUGAACUCAUUCUUUAUUUAUAUUGGUGUUAAACCUACUGUAUUCCAACUUAUCUAUGGUUUAUAAACUAUUUUACUAGCCAUAGAUUCAUGAAAAUAAGCAAACAACACACGAAAAACAGAAUAUGUCAAAAACAGAACAGUCUGUAGUAAUCUGUAGCUAACGCAAACUUCUGGAACUCCGAAAAAUCAGCCAAAAUAGGAAGACCUAGAAAUUUUUUUUAUUGAUCAGCAGAAAUUGGAAUCAAUAUUUUAUGACGUUCUGGUGAUUUUUAACAAUUAUUUUCGUGAACAGAAAGUUUCUGGAAUUUUUUUGCAAGAUCAAAUAACUAUCAUCCAAGAAGAUCCUAUAGGUUUAACUUGGCACAAACACUAAUUAAAACAUAAAAACACAUCUAACCAGAGGCUAGAACAAAUAUUUAUUCCUAAACAGAAGCAAAAGGCAAAAAACUAAAAAUAAAAUUGGGUUGCCUCCCAACAAGCGCUAUCGUUUAACGCCCCUAGCUAGGCAUAAAAGCUAGGAUAGAUCUAGGUAGUGCCAUAGUAAUAGGAUAGCUCAUUAAAACUCAUUUUGUAUUCUCUACGUUCAGCAGCAAGUUUCCUUUGAGGCAAGCAAAAGUAAUCAAAAGGGC